rnacentral:lncRNA from 1 species
GUAAGAACCUGGGCUCGCCAGCCCUAACGGUAUGAACCCAGGUUCCAGGUUUAUGCUUCCAAGGAUUCCAGAACUCUUCGCAGCUCUCCACCCGGGAAGCGGCCAGACUGCUUCCCCCAUCCCUAGCCUGUCCGCCUGUCUGUCCAUUCACCUUGUGUAGCCCUCUGAGGCUCUGCUCACCUGUCCACCUAUAGGUUGUCUCUUUGCCUGAAGACUCUGCUCUUACCUGGAAGUCUGUGCCAAGGGACUGUUCUGGAAGGAUGAUGUCACUCAAGAUAUGAAGACCUAGAAGAUAGAGCACAUGCCCAGGCUCCAUGCCUCAGGGACCAGCAUGAGGGAUGGGUAGACAGCCUUUUCCACCAAAACCACCACGCCCAGGGACAAGUGCAAAGAGGAACUCUGUUGUUCCCUAAGAGCCCAGUGACCAAGGUGAACAGGGAACAAUGCUUGAACUCUGAAAUGGUUUCAGAGGUCCCGAACCAAGAGAUGACCAACCAUGGCAAGGCCCCACUGCAGAGUACCUUUGAGCCAUUCCCUAGUCUGAGUCACAAGUCACAACCUUGCAGCUGAUUGAGUCCUCAGGGGAAGCCUCUCAUCUCCCACACCUUCUUGAUGCUCUCAAGAAGGACCAUUUCAGGCUGACCCAAAGUUGGAUUAUUAAAGCUGAUUUUCA